rnacentral:rRNA from 1 species
GACGAACGCUGGCGGCGCGCUUAACACAUGCAAGUCGAGCGAGAACCGGGGCUUCGGCCCCGGGGACAGCGGCGAACGGGUGAGUAACACGUGGAUAACCUGCCCUCGGCACCGGGAUAGCCCGAGGAAACUCGGAUUAAUACCGGAUGGCCCUUCCGGCCCUCGGGCCGGUCGGAAAAGGUAGCUUCCGCCUCCGGCCGAGGAUGGGUCCGCGGCGGAUUAGCUUGUUGGUGGGGUAACGGCUCACCAAGGACACGAUCCGUAGCUGGUCUGAGAGGACGAUCAGCCACACUGGGACUGAGACACGGCCCAGACUCCUACGGGAGGCAGCAGUGGGGAAGCUUGCGCAAUGGGCGAAAGCCUGACGCAGCGACGCCGCGGGAGGGAAGAAGGCCUUCGGGUUGUAAACCUCUUUCAGGAGGGACGAAGCUACUCGGGUGAACAGCCCAGAAGGUGACGGUACCUCCAGAAGAAGCCCCGGCUAACUACGUGCCAGCCGCCGCGGUAACAC